CCAUUUUUACUUUGUUAGCUCACUGUCCUAUCCUGGAAGGUCAGUGUUAAAUAAACAUCUGACUUUGCUUAAAUACUAGAUUUUAAACUAGAGAUUUAAUCCACAGGCUUGUGACUUCAGGGGAUUUUCUCCACCUACUUUUUGAAGAAACUUUUCACUGUGGAAAGAUCUAAUUCAUGCCCUGGCAAUAGGACUCAUACAAUCAACUGUCAAUCAUUCCUGCUGUUUGCACCAGCCCUAGCAUAGCCAGACUGUUCCUGAGAUUCACCAGUAUGAAGCACAAGAUGCCAUCUACAACUGCUACCACCUUUGCACCCCAAAGGGCUUAAUUCUCCCUAUCAUAUUGACACAGGAGGAAAAGGCAGUAGCAGUGCUCACUCUUCUCAACCAAGACUGGAGUCUCCACUCCCUGCACCUAGAAUGGAAAUAAAAAGACCAAGGAUGGAGGUCUGCAUGUUGUUGUUUCAGAGGAGAUGAAGGUCUGAAGACUUUUCCUCUCAUAGUGUAGUUUCUCACUAGACAUCACCAGAGGAAGAGUCAUUGCACUCCCCCAGUUGUGAAUAAAGCCAAGAGAUGGUUGAAGAUGAGUAGGUCU
rnacentral:lncRNA from 1 species